rnacentral:rRNA from 1 species
AACGCGAAGAAGCUUACCAAGGCUUGACAUACACCGGAAACGUCUGGAGACAGGCGCCCCCUUGUGGUCGGUGUACAGGUGGUGCAUGGCUGUCGUCAGCUCGUGUCGUGAGAUGUUGGGUUAAGUCCCGCAACGAGCGCAACCCUUGUUCUGUGUUGCCAGCAUGCCCUUCGGGGUGAUGGGGACUCACAGGAGACUGCCGGGGUCAACUCGGAGGAAGGUGGGGACGACGUCAAGUCAUCAUGCCCCUUAUGUCUUGGGCUGCACACGUGCUACAAUGGCCGGUACAAAGAGCUGCGAAACCGUGAGGUGGAGCGAAUCUCAAAAAGCCGGUCUCAGUUCGGAUUGGGGUCUGCAACUCGACCCCAUGAAGUCGGAGUUGCUAGUAAUCGCAGAU